rnacentral:sRNA from 1 species
CAUGGAGUGCAAGAUUGAGGGAAAAGAAAAAUACCAACAUAGCUUGAAUUUACUGAAUAAAAUUAAGAACAUGAAAGAAUUAGCAGAAAUGAUUGAUGUGGUACUCACAGCAGAAGGAGAGAAAUUUCCUUGCCACAGACUGGUCCUGGCUGCAUUUAGCCCUUAUUUCAAAGCUAUGUUCACCUGUGGACUACUUGAAUGUAAUCAAAAGGAAGUCAUACUUUAUGACAUCACAGCAGAAAGUGUGUCGGUGUUAUUAAAUUACAUGUACAAUGCAGCUUUGGAGAUCAAUAAUGCCAAUGUACAGACUGUAGCUAUGGCUGCCUAUUUUAUGCAGAUGGAAGAAGUCUUCAGUGUGUGUCAAAAAUAUAUGAUGGACCACAUGGAUGCCUCCAACUGUUUAGGUAUCUAUUAUUUUGCAAAGCAGAUUGGAGCUGAAGAUUUAUCUGAUCGAUCGAAGAAAUAUUUAUAUCAGCACUUUGCCGAGGUGAGCUUACAUGAAGAAAUACUAGAAGUCGAAGUGCACCAAUUUUUGACACUUAUUAAAUCAGAUGAUCUUAACAUAUCCAGAGAAGAGAGCAUUCUGGACUUAGUUCUGAGAUGGGUAAAUCAUAACAAAGAAUUGCGUACAGAGCAUCUUGUUGAGCUUUUGAAGCAAGUCAGAUUGGAACUUGUAAAUCCUUCUUUUUUAAGACAAGCCCUAAGAAGGAACACAAUGCUUCUGUGUGAUGCAGAUUGUGUUGACAUAAUUCAAAAUGCAUUCAAAGCCAUCAAGACACCCCAACAGCACUCUCUAAAUCUGCGCUAUGGUAUGGAGACUACCAGUCUUCUGCUUUGCAUUGGCAACAAUUCUUCAGGAAUCAGAUCAAGACAUAGGAGCUAUGGGGAUGCCAGUUUUUGUUAUGAUCCUGUAUCACGGAAAACCUAUUUCAUCUCAUCUCCCAAGUACGGAGAGGGUUUAGGAACUGUGUGUACUGGUGUUGUCAUGGAAAAUAAUACUAUAAUUGUGGCUGGAGAAGCAAGUGCCUCUAAACUCUCUAGACAAAAGAACAAGAAUGUUGAAAUUUAUAGGUAUCAUGAUAGAGGAAACCAGUUUUGGGAAAAGUUAUGCACAGCUGAAUUUCGAGAACUCUAUGCUCUGGGCAGUAUUCAUAAUGACCUUUAUGUUAUAGGAGGACAGAUGAAAAUUAAAAACCAGUAUCUUAUUACAAACUGUGUUGAUAAGUACUCUGUAGAACGGGACAAUUGGAAAAGGGUGUCUCCCCUUCCACUGCAAUUGGCAUGUCAUGCUGUAGUGACAGUGAAUAAUAAACUUUAUGUAAUUGGAGGCUGGACCCCUCAGGUUAAGAAAUUUCCUGUAUACAUAAUUGGCAUGGCUAUACUGAGUCUGGCUGCUAUGUUAAACAUUGUUGUAGUUGUUGAAUGCUA